GGCUGCAGUCGAGAAUCUUCGGCAAUGGGCGCAACCCGGACCGAGCGACGCCGCGUGGAGGAUGAAGGCCUUCGGCAUGUAAACUCCUGUCGAGGGGGAGGAAGGGGAAACCUUGACCGAUCCCUGGAGGAAGCACGGGCUAAGUUCGUGCCAGCAGCCGCGGUAAGACGAACCGUGCGAACGUUAUUCGGAAUCACUGGGCUUAAAGCGCGUGUAGGCGGAUGGGAACGUCGGAUACUGAAAGCCCCCGGCUCAACCGGGGAAGUGGUUCCGAAACGACCUGUCUGGAGGGACGUAGGGGGAUCUGGAACUUCCGGUGGAGCGGUGAAAUGCGUUGAGAUCGGAAGGAACGCCCGUGGCGAAAGCGAGGUCCUGGACGUCUGCUGACGCUGAGACGCGAAAGCUAGGGGAGCAAACGGGAUUAGAUACCCCGGUAGUCCUAGCCGUAAACGAUGGGCACUGGGUAGGGGGCUCGCCGAUGGGCUCUCUGCCGUAGCGAAAGCGUGAAGUGCCCCGCCUGGGGAGUAUGGUCGCAAGGCUGAAACUCAAAGGAAUUGACGGGGGCUCACACA
rnacentral:rRNA from 1 species